UAUUGAUGUUGUCUGAUAAUGGGUGGCAC
rnacentral:piRNA from 1 species